CCUACGGGUGGCAGCAGUGAGGAAUAUUGGUCAAUGGGCGCGAGCCUGAACCAGCCAAGUAGCGUGAAGGAUGACUGCCCUACGGGUUGUAAACUUCUUUUAUAAAGGAAUAAAGUGAGGCACGUGUGCCUUGUUGUAUGUACUUUAUGAAUAAGGAUCGGCUAACUCCGUGCCAGCAGCCGCGGUAAUACGGAGGAUCCGAGCGUUCUCCGGAUUUAUUGGGUUUCACGGGAGCGUAGAGGGGUUGUUACGUCAGUUGUGCAAGUUUGCGGCGCAACCGUAAAAUUGCAAUUGAUACGGGCAGUCUUGCGUACAGUUGUGGUAGGCGGACUUCGUUGUGUAGCGGU
rnacentral:rRNA from 1 species